rnacentral:rRNA from 1 species
AUGCAGUCGAGCGAACGGAUAAGGAGCUUGCUCCUUUGAAGUUAGCGGCGGACGGGUGAGUAACACGUGGGUAACCUACCUAUAAGACUGGAAUAACUUCGGGAAACCGGAGCUAAUGCCGGAUAACAUUUGGAACCGCAUGGUUCUAAAGUAAAAGAUGGUUUUGCUAUCACUUAUAGAUGGACCCGCGCCGUAUUAGCUAGUUGGUAAGGUAACGGCUUACCAAGGCAACGAUACGUAGCCGACCUGAGAGGGUGAUCGGCCACACUGGAACUGAGACACGGUCCAGACUCCUACGGGAGGCAGCAGUAGGGAAUCUUCCGCAAUGGACGAAAGUCUGACGGAGCAACGCCGCGUGAGUGAUGAAGGUUUUCGGAUCGUAAAACUCUGUUAUUAGGGAAGAACAAAUGUGUAAGUAACUGUGCACAUCUUGACGGUACCUAAUCAGAAAGCCACGGCUAACUACGUGCCAGCAGCCGCGGUAAUACGUAGGUGGCAAGCGUUAUCCGGAAUUAUUGGGCGUAAAGCGCGCGUAGGCGGUUUCUUAAGUCUGAUGUGAAAGCCCACGGCUCAACCGUGGAGGGUCAUUGGAAACUGGGAAACUUGAGUACAGAAGAGGAAAGUGGAAUUCCAUGUGUAGCGGUGAAAUGCGCAGAGAUAUGGAGGAACACCAGUGGCGAAGGCGACUUUCUGGUCUGUAACUGACGCUGAUGUGCGAAAGCGUGGGGGAUCAAACAGGAUUAGAUACCCUGGUAGUCCACGCCGUAAACGAUGAGUGCUAAGUGUUAGGGGGUUUCCGCCCCUUAGUGCUGCAGCUAACGCAUUAAGCACUCCGCCUGGGGAGUACGACCGCAAGGUUGAAACUCA